UUGGUUUCCUUUAAUUACCUCAAUGUAAAUUAUUAUCAAUCUAGAUAUACAUACAUGUAGAUUGUGUUGGUCUGUGUGCUUUAUCUUGUUGACAUCUCUUUGACAUCCUGAUUUUCCCUGACAUCUUUAAGUGUUUGAAGAUAAUUCUUGUCUUUAUUCCUUUACUAAGAUUUGCCAAGUAUUAUAUGAAAAGAAUAUUUACAAUUAUAUCUGCUGAUUUAAGACAACAAGAUUAUUAUCUCAACUCUAUUUUAGAAGCUUUAGUGAAAAAUUGGGUAAGAUUAAGUUUGAAGCAUUUGAUGUGCACCUCACACAAAAAUGACUUUCUUCCAACUACUACAUGUAUGUCUAACAAAGUAACAACUUUCACAGGCUUUUAUUCUAAACACACUUACUUUUUUACCAAGAUUUGCUUAGAAAAAGCAAGAAUCCAGAGAGCAUCCGAAUCAGAUCCCCUUAAUUGUGAAAGAAUUCUGCAUUCUCUAUUCUAUUCUAUCUUGACUCUACUAUCAGAAGCUUUAGUGAGAAAUUGGGUAAGAGUUUGCUCGAAGCAUUUGAUGUGCACCCCACAGACAAAUUUCUUUCUGCCAAUUCUUGAGUCUAGUAACAAAGUAACAGUUACCACAGGCUUUUAUAUCAUAAUUACAUGGAUUCUAAACUCUGAUUUUUACCUUUUUAACAGAUGUGCUUUAUAGAAAGAGCGAAAAGUUAACUGCCAAAAGACAUCCAGAGUGUCCGUAUUAGGAGGUUUCCUUGGGAAAGAACUCUGUAAUGCUGCAGCAAGGGCAUAAAGAAGCAACAGAGAUGGCAAGACAGGCAAGUCAUCUUCCAUCAACAGGGAUCUCAUUAAAAACUUUACAGAGCUCUACCACCGAAAAUCAUUCUUUAACAUCAAACCAAAGAGACAUCAUCAGUCCUUUAAAGGUUUUACAAGUGUUCCUUCUGUAACAGAAGGACAAAAAGGGGCAUUCAAGAGCACCUUAUUACACUACAGCGCAAAAAUGGAUUGGGAAAGGCCUUUGAUCAAUCAAUUUGAUCAAUUGGACAAGACCGUCAUCGACUCGCCAAGCACAUCUGGAUUUCAAAUUACUAUAGGUAAAAGUAGAGUAUCACUACUGCCGCCUUUGCUUGCCUACACUGCAAUAGUUUUCUGUUUCCUAUCUUUGUUUUUCCCAUUUUCAGAUCAUACUUGGGGAUGAAAUUUAAAAAAAUCGAACAACCAUGAACCUCAUAAGCAGGCAGCCAAAACACUCUGUCUUCAUCAAGGACCUCGCAUUGGCCAUUUUUGGGAAGACUGUAUUGACUGCAAGUUCAGUAGAUAGAAAAUUGAGCCCACGUCCAGGACAAGGUGGCCAAACCAGCCCGUGAUUCCAAGAAGGUGGAAGUGUUGAGAGGUAAAUGUACAUUUCCAAAGCCAUCUGUCUCUAUAUGAGUGCAUCCCACAAAAAAGGGAAAAUAAUUUUCAGAGGAGAUUUGAGACAUCGUUUGUGUGUGGCAGAUUAACAAUUUGCGCAGAAACUCACGUGUGAAUCUGAUCCACUCUCAUUUCAGGGAUCAGUGAGAGAAAGUUAACAAUGAAUACAAAAGAAAUGCGAUUGAGCCACUCGUUGAAUAAGCAUGGUUGUUGAAUCACAAAUGAAUCUUGUUCAACCUUUCUGCACAUCCUGAUUUUGGAAUUAAAAUUUAAAACUCAUCUUGCUCACUUAUGCCUGAUGUGUUCAUCUCAUUUAGAUAUCAAAAUAUAGAGGAUUAAUUUAAUUGUAUGAUGAUGUAAAUGAAAUAUCAUAAUUCAUUUUCCUAUGAAGAAAAGGAACGUGGGAAUCCCGUUUUCCUAAAAAAAAAAUUAUUACAUAUUAAACAUUCCCAUUGCUAGGUCUUUUGGUGCCUUUGAAGCAGUGCUGAUAUUGGGAAUUAAGUCUUGAUGACGAAAGCUCAAAGCUGUGCACUUUCAAUACGCCAUUCAACAUAUAUUAGGUGCCAGAUAUUACUGAAAGACAAUCAAAUUAAUUCUACAAGGAUUGGAAUAUAGAAAGAGAUGACAAUAUUCUUGUCCCAGGCAAGAAUGGCGCCAAGUAAAACAUAGCCUGCACAAGGUCUCCAGUAUGCAUAAGAAAGAAACAGGAAAUUCUACUUGGUGCAGAUCUAAAGUCAAAGAGGUUAAUAUGGAGGUUUGGCAGUAAAUCCCCAUUUUUUGUUUAAGUGACUUUAACUGCAUCUGUUUCCUCCAAAUCGGCAGG